rnacentral:rRNA from 1 species
UGGGGAAUCUUGGACAAUGGGGGCAACCCUGAUCCAGCGACGCCGCGUGGGUGAUGAAGGCCUUCGGGUUGUAAAGCCCUUUCACCGGGGACGAUGAUGACGGUACCCGGAGAAGAAGCACCGGCUAACUCCGUGCCAGCAGCCGCGGUAAGACGGAGGGUGCUAGCGUUGUUCGGAAUCACUGGGCGUAAAGGGCGCGUAGGCGGCGUCGCAAGUCGGCUUGUGAAAGCCCGGGGCUCAACCCCGGAGGUGCAGCCGAGACUGCGGCGCUCGAGGCCGGAAGAGGAGGGUGGAAUACCCAGUGUAGAGGUGAAAUUCGUAGAUAUUGGGUGGAACACCGGUGGCGAAAGCGGCUCUCUGGUCCGGUUCUGACGCUGAGGCGCGAAAGCGUGGGGAGCAAACAGG